UUUGUUUAUUGUUUUCCUUACACACGUGUAACUGUCAUUGGCUUCUUCACGUCGCCUCUUUCCACGUUACCUUUCAUCUUUACCAAAUCGAUUAAACGUCUCCAUUCUUCUUGAACCCUAAAUCGAUAAUCAGAAAUCGAUCGCAUGACAACAACUGCGCUCAAACCUGGCACCCAUCUCCUCCUUCGCAAGCCCUAAGUUCUCCUUCUAUUUGACCACCAGAUCUCCUCAGCGUGUCAUCCUUAAACUCGGGUUUGCCGAGCCUCGAUUUUGCCUUCAUACAAUGGGCAGGUUGUUUAGGCCUGGAAUUGGAACCGGAAUCGUUUGGUCAUUUUAUUUAUCAACAUUUUUGGUGUUAUCACGCAACUUAUUUUGAUGUGAAACCUUCCAAAAUAAAACUAUGUUAUUAUAGUUUAUUACAUCAAAAAGAAAAAUAAUACAUAGAAACUGUUUUUCCUCAUUUUAAUCUACAUAAAAAAUUCUUUUGAUCACCAUGUGUUAUGGACUUGAAAGGUUAUACUCACCACUACGUAAACAAAAGGCGUUAUAGGAGAAACACUGUUAACGAAAUAUAAUUGUCAUGUGGAGAUUAAAAUGAGGGGUAGAAAUUUGUAGGUAUUUAACUAAAAUUAAAGUGAUUGAGUUUUGAUGUAAUUUCAUGAAAGGUUUAAAGAGAUUUCACAUCCAGAAGUUGGAUUGUUGAUGGUAGAGCUAUUGCAUGAAAGGUUGAAACCUGUUGUCUGCCUUUGGUAAAUAAAGUCAAAGACUGGAGCAAUUCAGGAUUGACCAUGAUGCCAUUUCAGGAUUGAUAGUAGUGAUGUAUCAGUAGAGUAGUGGUCUGGGCUUCCCAUUGGUGUGAAAUUUGAACCCACUGAUCUGAUCUUGAGCUCUUAGAACAUUCGGCAGCCAAAUGUGGUGUGGGGAAUCAAAAACCACACCAAUUAAUUGAUGAGUUCAUCCCUACACUUGAUGUAGAUGAAGGAAUAUGUUCCAAACAUCCUCCUGAAAAUCUUCCUGGGUAGUCACGUUGAGAAAAUAUUAUAUGGACUCAGCUAUAUAGGAGCAACUAACUAAUGCAUCAUUGUUGGGAGUGAGAUGGACAAACUUGCAAUUGAAGAACCAGGUUUAAAGAACCGUGGUGUUCCUCAAAAAGUUUCUUACAAGGAUUUACCAUCUCAAAAACAGGUUUUAGUUUAAGUUCAAAUUAGAUCAUUUUAUAUUAAUAUGUUAGAUAGUAACAUAAAGUUUUGGUAAAUAUUAGGAUUAUGGAUUUGAGAGUUAUACAGUUUAAUAAAUACAUAUCGGGUAUUAAUGUGUUUACUUAAUAUCUUGAUUUGCCACUGUGUGUUGUCAACUUGUCAUUUGUUUUAGACUCCCACAUUGCCCGAGAGAAUUUCACUAGCAAGAUUGGUAUGCGCUGGUAUUGUAUGUCGUACAACUCCUGUAAACAUAAAACAUGAAGUACUGUAUGUUUUUAAGACUAUAAUGUCCGCAAUUAUAAACAACUAAGACGUCGCAACAACUAAGACGUCGCCGCCGCAACGCGCGGCCUAUGACAACAACCUAGUUCUAAAAUGGAAUAUAAUUUGUACUACUACAUUCAUGUUUUUUAUUUAGUCUUUUUUUUAAUUAAUGUCAUGCUAUUUUAUAUUUUUUUAUUUUAACGAAAUAGUAACUAAAUGAAUGUGUCAAUGCUUAUUCAUGUAUGUGUAUAUCAAAUAAAGCCUACGCAUGUAUGGGUUUAGCAAAUAAAGCAUU
rnacentral:lncRNA from 1 species